GACAGAGGUGCCGAGCGUUAGGCGGAAUCACUGGGCUUAAAGCGUGUGUAGGCGGACUUCUAAGUACCUUGUGAAAUCCCACGGCUCAACCGUGGAACUGCUUGGUAUACUGGUCGUCUUGAGCCAUCUAGGGGCUGUCGGAACAAAUGGUGGAGCGGUGAAAUGCGUAGAUAUCGUUUGGAACGCCAAUGGUGAAAACAGGUCGCUGGGGAUGAGCUGACGCUGAGACACGAAAGCCAGGGGAGCAAACGGG
rnacentral:rRNA from 1 species